UUUGCAGUUUUGCUAAAUUAAUUGAUAAAAAAUUAGAACGAUGUCCAUGUACCAUGAAAAGCAGUUUAUCAUACACUAAUACAAAGGUAUAAUGUGGUUUCAAAUUUUAAAACAAAUUUAAAAAUUAUAGGGGGGUACAUAGAUUUUGAGAAAAACUCAAAAAAAUUGAGAAUACUGUUUUAAUGCAUAUAUGAAUCAUGGAAUAAC
rnacentral:lncRNA from 1 species